CAACACAGUUACUGUUAGCAGGUGGUACUACAACACAGUUACUUACUGUUAGCAGGUGGUACUACAACACAGUUACUGUUAGCAGGUGGUACUACAACACAGUUACUUACUGUUAGCAGGUGGUACUACAACACAGUUACUGUUAGCAGGUGGUACUACAACACAGUUACUGUUAGCAGGUGGUACUCCAACACAGUUACUUACUGUUAGCAGGUGGUACUACAACACAGUUACUGUUAGCAGGUGGUACUACAACACAGUUACUGUUAGCAGGUGGUACUACAACACAGUUACUGUUAGCAGGUGG